GACGAACGCUGGCGGCGUGCCUAAUACAUGCAAGUUGAGCGCUGAAGGUUGGUACUUGUACCAACUGGAUGAGCAGCGAACGGGUGAGUAACGCGUGGGGAAUCUGCCUUUGAGCGGGGGACAACAUUUGGAAACGAAUGCUAAUACCGCAUAAAAACUUUAAACACAAGUUUUAAGUUUGAAAGAUGCAAUUGCAUCACUCAAAGAUGAUCCCGCGUUGUAUUAGCUAGUUGGUGAGGUAAAGGCUCACCAAGGCGAUGAUACAUAGCCGACCUGAGAGGGUGAUCGGCCACAUUGGGACUGAGACACGGCCCAAACUCCUACGGGAGGCAGCAGUAGGGAAUCUUCGGCAAUGGACGAAAGUCUGACCGAGCAACGCCGCGUGAGUGAAGAAGGUUUUCGGAUCGUAAAACUCUGUUGGCAGAGAAGAACGUUGGUGUGAGUGGAAAGCUCAUCAAGUGACGGUAACUACCCAGAAAGGGACGGCUAACUACGUG
rnacentral:rRNA from 1 species